UGUGGAUAGUGAGGUUGUUGGCCAGUAGACGUUGUUGGGGGCAGUCACUCUCUUGAUUCAUCCGUGUUUACUGAACAAUUUUAGUGUUUAUUGUAGUAGUGCAUCUAGAUCUGUCAGCCCUGCAUACGUUGAUGAUGGAGAGACCUGGCUAUGUGGCAGAGCAUUCAUCUACAUAUCCACGGUCAAUUCUGAACAAAGUGAGAUGUAUGGCCCACUGAAAGAUUUGGUUGAUGUCUGCCUGGAGCUUUGCAGUGUCUGCAAUGGAAGACACUGUCAUGCAGAUUCGGGUGUCAUCUGCAAAGGAAGACACGGUGCUGUGGCUGACAUCCUUGUCUAUGUCGGAUAUAAGGAUGAGGAACAAGAUGGGAGCGAGUACUGUGCCUUGUGGAACAGAGCUUUUCACGUAGCUGCCUCGGACUUUACUCUGUUGACGACUACUCUCUGUGUUCUGUUAGUGAGGAAAUUAUAGAUCCAUCGACCGACUUUUCCUGUUAUUCCUUUAGCACGCAUUUUGUGCGCUAUUACGCCAUGGUCACACUUGUCGAAGGCUUUUGCAAAGUCUGUAUAUAUUACAUCUGCAUUCUUUUUGUCUUCUAGUGCAUUUAGGACCUUGUCGUAGUGGU